UCUCCAACAAAUUCCUAUUUUUUUACAUGCACUCUCUCAUAACAAACAAUUGUCAAUUUUCUAAAUAUUGUGUACAUCUUUUCAAUUAUUUUAAGUCAAUAUAAAAAUUAAAUUGAUGAAACUUCUUCUUCUUCAUUGUCAUCUUGUUCUUGUUCUUGUAUCUUGUCGAAUGAGUUUUCAACUAUUGCUCCCUCUUCACAUCUCAUCAUCAAUUUCAACGAGUCUUCCACUUUUUCAUCCUUUUGAGCAUACUACAUGGAGUCUUUUAUUUUUCUUCUCUCAAAUCUUUUAUUUUACUUUGCCCUUGAAAUUUUUAACAAUUGAUACUCAUCUUAGUUAUCGAAUUUUAACUCUUCUUGGAACCAUUGUUUGUAACAAAAUUUUGUUUAAAUUUGAAGAUAACAAGAAACAAACUUUGUUUAAAAAAAAACUGUGUUCCAAAUAGAUAGCAUUAAUUAGUUUUAUUGAAAAAGCUAAAAGUAAUUGGCAAAGGGUAUAAUUGACAAAUCGUAAUUUAAAAUACCAAAAAGACAGUAAAAUAGGAACGGAAAAUUCACCAUAAAAAGACACUUAAAAAUGAACGGAGGAAGUAUAUCCAAAGUUAAUAUGUAUCGAAAAUUGUGUUCAUGUGUAAUUUAUUUGUUGUUUUUUGUUGCCGUUGUUUCUUUAGUGGCACUUUGACUCUGUAAAUACUUGUCGGUGGUUCUCCUUUUGCAUACCUUAUACAGGUUGAACCACUCUGAUUUUAUUAAUAUCUCAUUUUGAUUUGUUAAAAAAAAAUGUAUCUAAAAUUAUAAGAAAUUUCAAAGAUGUUAGAAAAAUGAGUUCCUUGAGGCUUCUUUGAGUGUGACCAAAGAAGAUUUUUUUAAUAGUAGAGAUAGGAAAUAAGAAACAACAAGAAUGUAAAUGUAGGAGAAGAAAUUCAAGAUAAUAUCACAAACAUUAGUAGUGACUGAAAGGGCGCAAACAACACCGCGUGCAAUAUUUCUUACAGUUUGAGUGAAAUUGCAACAAAUAAUCACAAAUUAAUAUUCUAGUUAAGGUUCUUCUAAUUGCAUAAAAAAAAACUCACUUUAUUUCUCAAUUUCUCAAUGUUAUGCAUUCUAGUUAAGGAUUUGUGUUAUUAAAAUUUGAAAGUUAUACAAUGCUAAAUAUACUGAGUAAAAAAAAGUUCAUUAUACAAAAUCAUAUUAAGUUCACAGAAAAUAGUAUAGUGACAAAAAAAUAAAAAUAAUAAUAACAUACUAAUAUGAAGGGAACCAUGGCCUAUGUUAGUCUCCGUUCUAGUUUCAUCCCUGAUUGCAAAGUAUAUCAUAAUGCAAUCUUGUGUAGCUACGAUAAGAAUUAAAUAUUUUCAAUUAUCUACUAAUAGUAAUGAUUAAUUGACAAUGCAAGUACUCUUUACACCUGCAUUGCAUAUGAAUUAGAAGUCACUUUGUUGGCAUAUCACUCCUCAAUCUUGUGAUCCUCCGUUCAAAACUAGCGGUAUGGUAACAAAACCCAUAUAUGUGGGUAUCCGUUUGAACCAAACUUAAAUUGACGGGUUUUUUUUAUUUUAAUUGGGUUUGGGUUUGUCUCGAUUUCAAAAGAUAGAUACGGGACGGGUAACAGGAAUAUAGGUACUCAUCUCAAACCCAUCCUGAAUGUAGAAAAUUAAUUUAUUACCCAUUUUAUAUAAAUAAAAACUCAAACCCUAAAUCAUUUCACUCAUACAAUCAGAGUCUCGGUCUUUCAGAUGACACAAUUAUCAUAGUUCUUUCUUUUCUCCUUCAAUAUUCCACACUCUCAGCCUCUCUCUUCUUCAUCACCAUAGUCAUCGAUCGUCGUCAUCUUUUUACUGAAUAAUGCAUUAGUCAUUACAACUUUGCGCUCGGGGAUAAAAAAUACUUUUAUUUUUAAUAAAAAAAAAUUAUCCACUUCGGGGAUGGGAAUGAGGCGGGGAUGCCCAAACCCGUCGGGGACAUGGAUGAGAUUCGAUUUCUCAUCUCCGCUGAAUAUGGGUAUGGUAACGGGUAAGUAUUUGAAAAUAUGGUAUGAGGACGGGGAAGGUAAAACUCAUCCUCACCCUACCCCAUUGUGAUGCCUAUUCAUGAAGCACAUAUAUUUAGGUAAAUAUUAGAAUAGAAUAACAUUGGAAUGAAAUAAUGACAAAAUUAUCUCUUCACAUGUUUCAUAUUGAGACUCUUUUAUUUACAAUGAGUUCCUUAUUUCGUCGUUAUAGUUUAAGUGAUUUCACAUCACAUACUAUACCCUAACAACAAAGACAUAUUAUGCCACUUGGUUUCGGUACACAUUUCAUUGUCACGCAUCGUCGUCUUAUGGUUGUUGUGCCUUCAAUUUAGUUAAAACUAUGGGCUAUUGCUACAGACUGACAUUUUCCUCAAAAUCAAAACCACCGUUUAUUUGGCAGGUUAUGCAACUUCAUGUUGACUUCCUUCUAUUGAAAACCUCUCUUUCCAACGUAAUUUUUACGUAGCAAUACAUCCCCUUUGCUUAAUUAGUGACAAUAUUUGAAGUUACCCUACCUUGAUCAUCAUCAUCCCUUGCUUAAUUGGUGACGAUAUUGGAAGUAACCUUCAUCAUCUUCUUUGUGGUUUUUCUAGGAAUUCUUUAGGUGUCUUCGAGUUUGGAAGCAUACAAUCAUUUUUGUAAUAAUUAAAAAUUAAAAUUGUUACAAACUUCUAAAACACGGAAGGGUGAUUGAGUUGUCCUCGUGGAGUCAUGUGUCCAAUUGGUUAUAUAUACAAUCAUAUUAUAAUAGUCGUAUAUACGUAAACAUUUUUUAAAAAAAUAUGUACCACACUUUAAAAAUUCACAUAUGCAUUAAUUAAUUUACUUUUAACCUUAUCUUCUAAUAUAUUAUUAUAAAUUAAUUAAUAGUUAUUUUAAGAAAAACCAAUAAACAAUAUAACGCAAACUUGAAACAAAGAGUGAAUCAAGGAGAAUCUACAAAAUAAGUAGAGUAAUGUAUAAUUAAUACAGAAAAAAAAUUAACAAAUAAAAUUUAUCUCACCUUACCAAUGGAGAUUUUAUCUAUUGGAAAUGGUUGAUAUACUUACAAUUAGUUUUCGACACACAUCGAAUAUGAUUAUCUCCAAUUUAUGUGGCGGAAAAACUUAUCACACACGUUAGAAAAAGAAAAAAGUGUUUAUUUUUCUAGUUCCAUGAGUUUCUACAAGGUUUUUUUUACUUCACUAGCUAGUGAUGACUCGCAUGUGAGAUUUGCGAGUGCAACUUAACAUAUGUGAUUUUGAGACCACGAGAGAAGCAUAUAAUUUUUUUUUUUAAAGUACUAUAAAAUAAUAAUAAAAUUUGAACAUAUAUAUGAAAUGUGGUUGUAUCUUUCAGCAUGGAUUAGAACUUUGUUUGUCAUGUUUAUGAGAGUUUAAUCUCUUGCGCUAAAUUCAACCUUAUUGGUGAAUCUAGAUUUUUUUUUUUAUGUAUAUAUGUAUAUAUAUAUAUAUAUGAUGUUUCUAACCUAAUUAAGAGUUAUAUGUUGUAAUAAUAUUAUAUAAUUGUCUUUUUACUCCUUUUCGAUCUUGAGUUAUUUUGGGACGGGAAAAUAUCUUUAUUUUGGUUUUCAUAUAACUAUUCCCCCUUUUUUGUGAAUCCAAAGCAUUGCUUGAAAACUUUUAUUAUCAGCAUUGCUCGAAAGUUGAAACUAUUCCCGCUGGAUUCAAAGUUUUCAACUUCACUAAUUUCUUUGAAAAGAAAAUACUAUAAAACUUCACUGACAUGUUACGUUACAUUUGGAAGCCAGUCAUGUACCGUAAUAAUUGAAGAAAAAAUAUUAUCAGCCGACACUAAAUGCAUAAAAGGUUAAGACAUUACCGAUCCAUGUUUUGUCGUUGAACAAUUAGUCAAAUGUUAAUUGGUUUCAUUCAGAAUUAAGUGUAAAAAAUUUGAUGAUGAUAAUGAAAGAGACUUGAGUGUAUUACCCGACUAAAAUCCAUUUCGCUUUCUUCAUGUGCUCUAGAUCUACAAUUACCUGCUACACAUUCCAAUGGAUAAAUUCUGGUAAUUAUAAAUGUGAUUACUUAAAAUAUAUAUGGUGGCUUCUUAAACUAAAUUAUAUAAAUUGUUAUCGUUAAAAAGCGACUUUUAGAGUUUAUAGCAACAAUCGUAUCUAUUUGUUCACGGGUUUUUGGAUUAAGUUAGAUUUAGGCUAUUGGUCAUUUCAGUCCACUUAUAAAAAUGGAAGGAUGGAUAUUAUUUUAUUAAUUUACACCAUUCGGAGAAUUUCCUUAUUUUGUAUCAAGUCAAAUAAAAAUUAUAGCCUCAACUCUGGCAAAUUAUUUGCAACAUGUUACCCAAUAGUCUACAUUAUAUAUCUAUUAAAAAUCUUAAUAUCUUGUACAAACAUUGUGUAUAAAUCUUUAUUCGAUCAGUUAUAACAAAUUACAUAGACAUAUAGUGUGUUCGAUCGAGAAAAAUAAAUAAAAGAUUGGACAUGAUAACUACAUUUAUACUAUGUGAUUGUAAAACUACAUCAGGAACUAGAUAAACUUAGAGGGUAAAGGACACGAUAAAAAUUGAAAUUAUUAUCAUUUACUAAAUCAGAAUACAACUUUUUGCCUCAAAUACAAGUGAAUAAAAUACCCAAAUAGACUUUUAUCCACCAAGGAUCGUCGUCUAAGAUAAAAAAAAUUGUUCAAUAUAAUUAAAGUUAGUAAUGUGUCUUAUGUCUUAUUCCGUGUUCUUAUGUCCAAUACUUACAUUUUUAGAUAAUCAAACGUAUUCAUCCUGUUGAAGUACAUGGAGUCGAUACAAGUUAAGAACACAGUGGCUUGGGUUAGGUGAUAGAUGUACAAUCGUAUAGCUUAUAGGUCAAUUCUAACAUGUUUCUGAAAGUCAUUUUGUAUGGAGGUGUGUUAUUUGAACAAUCAUUUGAAUGAUAACUUUUGUGACAACCACUAAUUUACAAAGGAAAGUAGAUAGUGACACGGAAACCAAAGUAAUAGAGAGAUAAAGUAAAAAAAUAAUGUGAGUAUGAAAAAUAAAAUUGUCACAAAAUGGUUGUCAAAAUAUCAUUUCUCUUUUGUAUAACAUGCACAAAUAUUUAAAAGAUAAAUGAUAUUUGUAUAACCAUUUUUUUGACAACUUUUAGACAAUUUUCUCUCUCAUAUUCACGUUAUAUUCUUAACCUUUCUUUUCCUUUUUCUCUCUCCUUUGUUUUUAACCAAUAAAAAGAGAGGAAAAAAAAGUUGUCAAGAAAGUUGUUAGCAAAUAGUUGUUCAAAUAUCAUUGCUCGAGUUAAAAUCGUGCUCACUAAACACAAAUGAUUUUUGACGAAGUUUUGUGUAGGCACAAGCAUUUCGGCGCACAUACAUAAAUCAAAAAAAUUAAAAGAUAAAUAAAACAGUCACAUCAAUCAAUAUCAUUUUAAUCAUUUAGUUUUUAAUUUUUUUUUAACUUCAUGGAUGCGUACCUAAAUGUGAGGUGUUGGUCAUAUGACCAAAUAAGAGAUUUUCAUGAUUUUUUUACCAUAAGAUCAAAAAGUUAUAUCAUAUCUCAUUUUAUUACAUUUUUUCUUUAAUGGUGGGGUUUAUUGGUUUCUAAAAAUAUAUCAAUUACCACCCUUUGUUUUCAAAUUCUUUAACCCCGUCACUAAAAACAUAAAAGUAUUUGGAGUAGGUUUAUUUUGUGAAAACAUUUUAAGUUUUCUAGAAUUUAUAUUUUUAAGCAAAAGUGAAUUGCAAAAAUUUAAGCGAGAUUUUUUAUCACAAGUUUACAAUUAUGGUGAAAUCGAAGAACUUAACUACUUAGGUUGUAAACUAAGAACAUUUUAUUAACAAAGAACCAAAAACAGGCAUGAUGGAGUGCAUAGACCAAAAUCUAAAGAAAAAACAUCAAACAGAAAUAAAGGGAAACUAUGUCGAUUAUUAUAACAACAAUCCUCUAAAAUAAAUCUAGGUGGAAGAGUCCACCAAAUAUAACGUUUAGAUUAAAAACCAAAUCCCGCUAUAAAUAUGAGAGAUUACAAUUAAUUGCAUUUGAGAACACAAUGACAAAGCAUUGCGUUGUCUUUUUUUUUUUUUUUUUUUGUCAUUUAGCUUAAUGGCUAUAGAAAUUCACCUUAAAGAUGAAUAAUUGAAGUGUCAUGCAUCGUCUGUUUUUUAAUCUCCACGUGAUAGACCGAGAAUUCUAAAAAGACUUCACCGAUAAUGACGGUGGAGAUUAAAAAACGUUCAUAAUUGCGGCCAACAAAACAAUUUGUGACUAAUAAUUCUAACCUUUUUAAAGAAAAACACGAAGUAGACAAGAAAAAGGAUGUAUCAAUAUGACAAUCAAUGGAAGUCCAAAGUCAACUCUAAAUGUUAACAUCAAAUUGAUUAACGUUGUAACUUGUAACACCUCGUUUUUUCAACUUAAAAAUUUCACAUAUAAAUUAAAGUAUUUCAACAUAAACAGAAUGUCACACUUCUUUUCAUAAAAUCAUAAACAGAAUAAAAUAACUAUUUAUCCUUCAAAUUCAACAGCAUAUCAUUUAUUACAUCGCAACGGAAUGUAUUCAACAUUUAAACAUCUUUUGCACCAAGGCCUCAACAUAAAAUCUCUUAAAGUUAUUCCAACAACAUGUUCAUGAAAGUUCAUAAAAUAAUACGUAAGGAAUAGAAAGCAACAACAAAAUUCUCAUCCCGUUACGUAUCAGGGCACCUAAGACACACGUGAGAGAUAGUCCACUCACGACAACAACUAACAGCAACUAUUCUCGAUCACCUGCAGGUUACCCAUAUGAAGGGUAACAAUUCCAAGCAGAAGGGGUGAGAUUUCAUAUUCAAAUAAUAAUAAGCAUAUAAUUCAUUAAAUGCAUUUAACAACUUAAACUUCAUCAAUUAAUAACAUUAACUCUUCUUAUAAUACUUCGUUAAUAACUCAAUCAAUUUCUAAUCAUCAUUAACUUCAUAUUCAUCACAUUAUAUACAACAUCAUAUAGCACAUAAUAAUCAGAUCAUAAACAUCAUCAUAUAACGACAUAAUCAUCACAUCAUAAACAUCAUCUUAUAACAAGAUAAACGAUACAUCAUAAACAUCAUCUUAUAACAGCAUAAACAACACAUCAUAAACAUCAUCUCAUAACGACAUAAACAACAACGAUUAAUAAAUAUUAAUACUUCACUUAGUUCUUUAUUAACAACUCAUUGACAAAUGACAACUUAACGACAACGACAAUGCGACUUCUACAUCUUAAACUCAACAUAUGCAACUUCAACUUCUUAAUCAUGCAUGUGGUACCAACCAGAGCAUCAAGCCCUCAACAUAAAGAGCAUAAAUACACUCACAGGGCAUCAAGCCCUCAACAUAAGAGCAAAAGCUCACAGAGCAUCAAGCCCUCAACUUCAAAUGAUUAUGCAUGGACUCAAAAACGUACAACUUAGACAAAUUCACAACUUAUAUGAUCCAAUAUCUUGGAAUAACAACUUACAACUUUACAACUUAGACCAACACUUGCAACUUAAUGACAAUAAUGGUUCAACAACAACAGAAACAGCAACAUAAACAUCUUGCAACAUAGCAACAUCAAUAAUAACAAUUUGAAUGAUAUAAACAAUAAUAAUUUCUAUAUCAUACAUUUUCAACACCUUAUAUAAAUAUCUUAAAUUAACCAACAAUCAUUAAUCAUUUGAUUCAGGCUCUCUUUAACUCUAUAACUUAAUAACAACUUCCAUUCUUAUCCAAAGAUCAACUCAAAACAUAGGUUAAAUACUCUUAAACAUCUUAAUUGAACUCAUAGUACUUCUAGUUUUGAGGUUUUGAAUUAUCCCAUAAGUUUUGGAUUAACUUAGAAAUGGUUAUGCUGAAUUUUCAUAAGAUUUCACUAAGACCUCUCUGGAGUAUUUUUUAUCAUAUCUCAAAAACCAAAAAUCAUUUUCAAAUCAAACCAAAGCCAUUGAAAAGCUAAUAAAAUUAUCUAAAACUUUCAUGUUUACAACUAGACACAGUUCAAAGCGGAAAGGGGUGAAAAAUAGUAAAAUAAGAAGGAUCUGAUUCACAAAAAUCGUGCCACGUUUUUAUGCCCAGAACCAUUGAACUUUCGGCCAACAAAAUUGUGCCACGCUUGCAAAAUCGUGACACGUUUUGACAGCAUCAGGUCCAGAAAUCUGCUUUUCAAAAAGUGCAAUUUUCACCAUUUCGCGCGUAAAAUUCAAACCGUUAAUCGGAUUUUGAUGCCGUUUUCGCCUACACGCUCCUGAAACUUGGCUCUAUCAUAAUCUACAGCUAUUUCAAGUCUCAACCAUCCCAAGAAUCAUUUUCCAAAACCUCACAUAAUCCCUUAUUUGCAAAAACGUUUAGACACCGACUUUUCAAGCGAAAAUCUCAAUUUUCAUCAACUCAACCCCAAAACUGGUUCUAAUCAUUGUACUGUGAAUAAUCUAAGGUCUGAACAUCGUUUCUUCAUUAAUUCAACAGGUUUCUAUCAUCUAAUCAACCAAUUACAACUUUUAACCCUAAUUUCCCAAAUUCCCAAAACUACAACCUACAACAUGUUAAAUCCAAUUUUCAGAAUUAUACAACUUAUAAUUAAAGAAUGUUAUCAUUCUAGGUUCUUCUCUUCUAUUGUUUUCUCCCUUUUUCUCCAAAAACUUGUUUUACGCGAUCCUUAUUUUCUAAUUCUAACUCUCCCCUUUUAUAUAAAUCCUUAACCUACUUAUUUUCUCUUAUUUCCAAAUCUACCCCCAAAGUCUCAAUAUUCUAUUCUAAUAUAUAUGUAUAAUAAAAUACUUCUAUAACAAAUAACAAAUAUAUCUCUAUAACAAAUAUAUUUAUGUACCAGAUAACAUAUAUAUUUCUUCACCAAAUUAGAUAUAUAUUUCUACACCAAAUAACAUAUAUAUUAUACUAAUAAAUACCAACAUAUAACAUAACAAAAUAUCACUCAUCAAAAUAAAUCGACUAAAUUAUAAAAAGACAUCUAAAUUCAAUAAAAUAAAUAAAUAUUAAAAUAGGGCGUUACAAACGUGCUUUCUAUCAUCGAUGAACCAGAGCAAAAUUACCAUUAGAUUCAAUCAAUGGUCAUGAUUUAUACAAAAUAAAAAUAAGAACAUUUAAGAAUUGCCUCGCACAAUCUUGCCCCUAUUAAACUUUUUUAUUUUUGGUAUUCAUCAUCUUCAACCUCCAUUCCAAUUUUUUCGUAAUAAAAAAAAAAAAAAAAACUCCAUUUCAAUUUAGGAGCAAUGCUACAAAAGAGAAUUUGCACAAAAAAUUGAGUGUGUCUUCAAAAGUUUACGGGGUUUGCUAAAAAUCUAGUUUAUGGGUUCAAUUGGAGGUGGUGACUAAUGAAAUUGGAGGUUUAACUCAUCCUUAAAAACCAGUUCAUAAGGUGAGUCACGCCCAGCACUCUUUGGGCUUACGUGAAUCGGUAGGUAUUUGGGCUUACGUGAAUCGAUAGGUAACUCUUGAAUUCGACAGGUUCUGAUACCAUAAUGAAAUUGGAGGCCUAACUCAUCCUUAAAAACUAAUUCAUAAGGUGAGAAUUGUCUCCUCUAUAUUAACUCUUAUCAAGAGUCUUAUCUUUUCGAUGUGGAACAUGAGUUUUUUUCAAUAAUGACCUUUAAAGUUUAAACACGCGGCAUCUUUGAAUUCUACAUAGAAAAAAAAAAUAGAAUUAUAGCGUGUUAUGUUUGUUUCUCUAGAGCAUGAGACAUUUCAUUGUUCAGUUUAUGUUGUCAUGGAAAGGCAUAUGAGUGAUGGGUGUACAUCAUCGAUCGGUGGUUUGAUUCUCGUGAAUAGAACAAAAAAAAUCUGAGCUCAAUGGUACAAAUCCUUACGAUGAAAGGUGAGAUAUAGUAGGAUUGUGUGUGGAUAGUUGUAAAUGUUAUCUUUUUUAAUUCUAGUAGAUCAAAAUUGUUAAUCUCAUUUCAUGGUAAAAAUUAAAUAGUCCAUUUGUGAGGGACUCAAUAGCUCCUUCACCUUAGACGUCACCCUUAAUUAAUAAGAAACUAACGGCGAGGGACUCAACUCCCUCACCUUAGACGUCACCAUUGAUUAAUAAGAAACUAACGAUUGAAGUAAAUAAACGAGAAAGAAACUCAAACUUCUUUCUAAACUUUCUUUCUCUUUCGUUCAUCAAGGAGGGGUGGUUUUUGACCUAGAAUCACCCCUCUACAUCUUUUUUCCCAUUUUCUUUCAAUCUAAAUAAGUGGUUUUCACAUACAAGUGUUUCCUUUUGUGUUUUUUGUGAUUUUGUCGUCUAAGUACAACGCUGUGUUGGUCGUCGUCUUGUGCGGCGUUUGAUUUCACGUCUUGUCGCGGCGUUCGUUUAGUUUCUAUUGAAAGAUUGACAUCGGUCAAUUAUAAAUCCAAUCAAUGAUUUGGGUGUGAAUGUUGCCGAUCUAGAAACAUGAGUAUUUCGGUGACUUAGAUUUAAUCAUAUUAGUUGUAGCAUUUUGUCAUUUUAUGUUAUUAACUUGGGUGCUGUGAGUUUGUUCGCAGUUUUACCCUUUACGUUUCUAGCGAUUUUUGUAUCUGAUGUACUCUAUCAAUCUGAAUGAAUGAAUAUCGUUUUGUUUUUAUUAAAAAAAAAAAAUAAAAAAAAAACUAACGGUUAAAAGUUUGCUCUACAUGCCUACAAUGAUAAUAAAUAGAGAUAAUUUACUACAACUUUUAAAACAAUGAUGCUCAUUUAUAGGAACUUUACCAUAAAUAAGUCUCCAAAGAAAAAAUGAUUUGGAUUGAGGAAUUGAAGGUUUCCAAAUAAGCUAUGUCCAUGAUUGAUCAUAUGCAGAAACUUGACAAAAACUAUCAGCAUCCUAAACUGAAAGAGAACCUGAUGAAGAACCCUUCUAAGCAAGAUAUUCAGUGGAAAACUAUACCCCGAUAUUUAUCAAAUUUCAUAUUUCACCAAUUCAACUCUCUCUAUCAAUAGUAUAUAUAUAAAGUAAGAUUUUUUAUGACACGUGUCACUUCCACGUUUAUUCGCAAUAUUUUUAUUUUUUUUCUAAUUUUUCAAAACCAAUAUUUAAUUUGGCAUAAAUAUCUCAACAAACUUUUGAUCUUAUCUAUUAAAUAUUUUACUUAACUAUUUAUUGAAUUCCUAAUAUUUUAUGUAAUAGAAAUAUCUCAACAAAAUUACAUACGAUACCCUUCAAUUAAAAAUCAUCAAUCAAUCAAUAGUAUAUAUAGUAAGGUUUCUUAUGCCACGUGUCACUUUCAUGUUUAUUCGCAAUAUUUUUAUUAUUUUUAUAUUUUUUAAAAUCAAUAUUUAAUUUUGUAAAAAAAAAAUCAAUAUUUAAUUUGGCAUAAAUAUUUCAACAAAAUUUUAACCUUAGGGAUGGCAAUGGGUACCCUAUCCCAAUGGAUAGGGUACUAUAGUACCCUAUCCAUUGGGUACUCAUUGCCAUAAAUGUAUUGGUCUAUUCUCCACUAUCAUAAAUAUAAAGUGAAAUAUAUUGAAUUGGAAAUGAUGAAAGUAGUAUUAAUUAGAGUUAUAAUUGAAAAAAAAAGUAAUUAAUAAUUGUAUUGAAAAGUUAAAUGCAUCAAGAUUUUUGAGACAAUAUUUUUUACAAAUAACUUAGUUAUUAUGGGACGGAGGGAGUAACACUUUAACAUGACAAUGAAAAGUAAAUUUAAGAAUUAAAAUGCAAGAAAUGAAGAGAAUGUUUCUCUAACACAAAACUAUUUUUUUUUUCUCUUUCACUUAUACACUUUUUUAAUGUGUAAAAUAAAAAAUAAAAAAAACUUAUGUAUAAUGAGACGGAGGGAGUAGUUAGUAAGAACAAAGUCGUCAAGGAACCAAUUAACUCUUGAUUUCACUUCCCAAAAACGUCUUGAUAGUGCUAUACUCCCUCCGUCCCAAAUUAUAAGCAAAAAAACAAAAAUCACACUUAUUAAGAAAACUAAAACAUAAAAAUUUGGAGUAUAGUUUUUUGUGUUUUCGUUGGAAAAAGUUUUAUAGGAAGAUGUAAAAACAAUUUUCAUUGGCUAUUGAUUAUGGAAAAAAUGAAAGAAAGAGAAAAUUGAAUGUAAUUUGCAUUUAAUUUUAUGAGAAUAACAAAAAAAAAUCUUGGAAAAGAUUAAAAUUUGUCUUUUUUCCUUAUAUUUUGGGACAAAGAAAAUGAAUUUCUUUUGCUUAUAUUAUGGAACGGAGGGAGUACUUGGUUAAGCUGGAUUGAGCAUUCAAUUCUAAUUUAAGGGCCUUUAAUUUACCUUAAAGAAUAAACAUAGGACAACCAACCACAUAAUUAUUUAUACCAAACAUUUUCCACCACGUGGGUGAUAUCUGGAAGAUGAGAGUCCAUUUAAGUGAGUCAAUGUGACGAAAAAAAAGAUAAAAUGGCAAUUUUAGGAUCGUAAAUUUCUGAAAAUAAUGGAAGUAGUAAUUCUUUUAACGUUUUCAUUGUUUUAAAAAAAUUAUCCAAUCAUAUUUUAUAUGCAAUUUUUGUUUUUUAGAUUAAUUAAACAAUAAAUUUUGUUAACCAGUGUCCUAAGGGUGAUGAUUAAGGAAUUCAAAUGUAAAAGUUUUGUCUUGUAAUUGUAGGAUGUUACAUUUGAUCAAGUAAUGAUUAUACUACUUUUUAUUAAAAACUUACUUGAUUUAGUUGUUUAACCAGUGUGAACACUAGUUAACAUUCUCCUUAAAUAAUUGAUGUUUCUGAAAUAUAAUAUAUAUAUAUAUAUAUAUAUAGCUCAGAUACAUCACUUAUUUAAUGAAGAGUUUUUUUUUUUUCCUUCUCUUAAUUAACGAAUAAAACUAACACUUAUAUAUCUACCAAAAAAAAAAAAAAACUAACACUUAUAUAAUAUAGUUCGGAUACAAUAUAUUUAUAUAAUAUAAUCCGGAUACAUCACUUAUAUAAUCAACAUUGCUAUUUACCGCGACAAGUUUUGUCCCGAAUGCAUCAAGAAUGAAAAUAAGCCAAUUAAAAACAGCUGUUAGUGGAAAUCAUGGGAGGUGGGGGAGAAAAAGAUGGAAAUCAUAAACUAAUGGAUGGAUGGCAUACAUGCCACAUGUGUCUGGAAAAUCUCGGGACAGUUUUAUUUCGUGUGAAAUAGCAUUUUUCCUUAUAUAAUAUAGUCCAGGUACAAGGCAACUAUCACCGGAUGAGGUUUUAUCUUUUUAUUAAUGAAUAAAACUUUUUUUAAGAAGCUAAAUGCAAAAUAUAUUAAAAACCAAAUUAGUUAAGCACAAGAUGUGCCAAACGAAAAACUGUGUAUAACGUCAAAGUAACAAACUCGAUAAAGAAAGAAACCACAAAUAAUAAAAAUCAAAAGCGAAAUUCAGUUUAUGUGUCUUUAGCCACCACAAAAAAUGAAAUUUAAUAUUGUCGAGAAGUUGAUCCUUAGAAGACACGUUGUUAUUGAAAUUUCUCGAGUUUCUCUCCUUCCAAAUUCUCUCCUUCGAAAUAACUCAAAGACAUGUCAGCACACCACUUUAAAACAAGAGCUAAUGUCCUUCCUGAAAGCAUGCGCGCCAAAAAAUUGUUGUGCGUGACAACCAAUAUUUGAUGGAACGACGGUAGUUUUACCCUACCAGAUCAACAAACACCCUACCAGAUCAACAAACAGGGAAAAUAAAUAAAAAAUAUUUUUGCAAAGUAAUUAAACGGAUUCUAAUGUUUAAUAGGAACCGAUCGAGGACAACAUAGAAAUCAUGCUGGAAUUUGAAGAAGAAAUACAAACCUAAUUAAAGAGAGGGGCUAAGUAUUUCCAAGCUGGAACUUGAAAAAGAAAAACCAUGCUCUAAUUAAGUAACUAAGUAAGGUAGUACAUUACAACAAUUGAGAUAAGUACGACACAUUAUGAUGAUUAUGACUUAUGAGCUGUUAAAUGAUGUUGUAGGAUUACUUUUUUCUUGUCAAAAAUAAAUAAAUGAUGUUGUAGGAGAAACAUUAUUAUAAACAUUAUUAUAACUUACAAGGACUAAUGUUUAAAAAAAAAAACUUACAAGGACUAAUAAUGAGACAGAACGAAAGUGUACGUGAGUGUAGGAGACACGUUAUUAUAACAUUUUAUAAAUAUUUAAACGUUGAUAAUAAUUUUGUCGAUCUAUAAACCACUACCAAUUCCUAGUUAAAUAUAUAAUAAUUUUUAUUAUAUUUGUUAGUUGAUGGUAAAAGAUGAAUAUAAUUUGUUACUAUAUUUUUUUUUGACAAAAUAAUUUGUUGCUAUUUAAAAUUCAUAAAUAUAGUCUAUACAUAUAAUUUUAAUAAAAAUAAAAAUUCACCCAAAAAAAAAUCAAAAAUUUCAUAAAAAAAUAAAUAUUGUUUAUAAUUCACGAGCGUUGUCGCAGUACAAAAAUGGAUAGAUGGAUACCCAGUACUAGUAAUUAAUGAAGUUAAUUGGUAAAAUUUCACUCUUACUGGUGGUUGAUGGUAGGGGUGUUUACGGUGCGGUUUGGUUCGGUUUUGAGAGAAAAAGUCAUCCAAACCGCAAGAUAAAAAAACAUGCGGUUUGUGUAACACCCACAGCUGACGAGGGCAGGGGAGUGGUCACCGGUGCACAAGGCACGCCAAUGAGCGGCUCCCGACAGCUUCUAGAGGAACCGAAUCACAUCUGAAUGAGAGGGAUCCUGAGGCCGUGUAGGUGUGGGACUACAUGAAUGAAGGAAUGCUUAUAAGAAUUGUUUGGUAAUACCUAUAUCAACAAGGUGCAUCUUCUUUUUGGUACCCUAUUCCAUAAGAACUCCACAGUUAAGCGUGCUUGACUUGGAGUAGUCUUUGGAUGGGUGACCUACCGGGAUUCCCGAUAAGCAUGCGAGUGAGGACAAAACACGCUGAAAAGACUCGUGUUGGUUUGUAGGGUCAGUCGACAAUGCUUAAAGUCGUCUGGGAUGUUACAGUUUGGUUUGGUUCGGUUGGCUUUAAAAUAAAAUCCGAACCAAACCAAACCAAUAUGGUUUGGGUUGUAUCGGUUGGUGCGGUUUUUUUCGUGACGAUACGAUUUUUUGUUUCCAACAUUAAAAUCAAGAUAAAAAGCUGAAACACAAUAUAUUUUCAACAAUGUUUUAAAUUUCAUCAAACAUUACAAUUUCAUUUUCAUUACAAUGUUUCCAACAACAUAAACCAAAUUAAAAACGCGGACAAAAAGUAAUCUUAUUUUGUAAGAAAUGCAAAAGACUGAGAUGUUCUCAUUCUCUAAAAGUUAAGUAGCACAUAAAUACAUUUUUAAAUAAAAAGCAAAUAAUGAACUUAACAAGAGAAAAAAAAUAUGACAUUUUAUAAAAGUUUUCAUUGAGUUUCUAUGAGUAUUGGUCUUGAUGACAUAUGUUUAAUUAACAUUUUUCUUAUGUUAUGGUUUGGUUUGGUUUUGUAUCUAUUUGACAGUCUCUUUGUACUUUGAGCGACCUCUUUAGUACGCCUUAUGCUAAAGAGGUGUCUCUCUUAUUGUGAAUAUAUAUCAUUUUACCUUCUUAAAAAAAAGUUAAUUGGUAAAAAAAAAAAAAAUUUCUCUCUUGAUUUAUAUGAAAUGACAUUUUUUUUUGGAACAUGGAGGGUAUUGAUUUUUACACCUUUUCAAAAGCCACUCAAGGAUGAAUAUAGAUUUUUCAUGCAUCAAACACAAGAAUCAUUAGCAUAACAUGCUUUGGAAAACACACACAUAUACUUAAAUUAAUGGUUGGAGUAUCAAAUUUAAAAAUAUUGUUGUCAAUACAUACCCCGUCAAUCCUCCUUUUUUACCCAAUAAACAUUGAAAUGUUGCUUCUUUCGUUAAGCAUAAAAACAUCAAAGUCUAGCAAAAUGUUGUUUUUGCGAUGACACAUUUCAUAUAGUUUAAAGGAUGCAUGAUUCGAUUACAAAAACAAAAUACUAAUAAUUCUAGCACAAAGUUUAAAGCUAAGAUUAUAAAGCUUCAUAGCAUGUGGAUAUUCAUUUAGAAAUAUAGGAUUAGGAUUGCCCCUUUCAUCACGGGUCUAAUAGCACCACUUGUCACUACAUGUUAAAAAUGUCCUCUAGUACAACACCGCUUUUUACUUGAUUCCCCUUGUCCAUGAAAAAAUCAAACAAUAUUUGGACACAAAAAUUUGCCCCCACUUUCCUUUUUCUUCUGCCCUAGUUUGUUUGAAAACUCAUAUUGAUCAAAUUUGGCUAUGAAUUCAAACAAAAAAUUCACUCUGCCCAUUGCAUGUGUGGGACCCACAUAUAAAUCCAUGAAGGAUUUCAAUGUCCAUCCAAGUCAAUGAUUCAACAUAUAACAUUGAAUAAUUUAAUUCCAAUUUGCAGUAUUAUGAUUUAGAUUGAUUGCUGCAAUACGGUCCGUGAAUGUAACUCACGAGAAAGAGGUAUCAAGGUAUUUUAUUUUAUUUUUAACAAAUAAAAUUUCAAGGUCUUGUUCACCAUAUAAACCUCCUCACUCUCACUCAAUUCUCUUAAGUGUAUGACUUCAUAGUAAACUACACUACUUUCUUUAAAACAUGGCUAACUAUGCUAUAGCCAAUGUUUUGAUCCUUCUCUUGAACUUGAGUACCUUACUCAAUGUUCUUGCUUGCCCUUAUUGUCCUUACCCAAGCCCUAAACCACCUUCACACCACCCUCCUAUUGUUAAGCCACCAGUUCACAAACCACCAAAGCAUUCUCCUACUCCUAAACCACCAGUUCAUAAACCACCAAGAUAUCCUCCUAAACCAUCACCUUGUCCACCCCCAUCAUCAACACCAAAACCACCUCAUCAUCCCAAACCCCCAGCAGUACACCCACCACAUGUUCCAAAACCACAUCCACCUUAUGUUCCAAAACCACCAAUUGUUAAACCUCCAAUAGUACAUCCACCUUACGUACCAAAACCCCCAGUUGUGAAACCACCACCAUAUGUCCCUAAACCACCUGUUGUGAGACCACCCUAUGUUCCUAAACCACCAGUUGUACCUGUAACACCACCUUAUGUUCCUAAGCCACCAAUUGUUUUCCCACCACAUGUUCCUCUACCUCCAGUUGUACCAUCACCACCACCUUAUGUACCAACACCUCCAAUUGUGAAACCACCAAUUGUUUUUCCACCACAUGUUCCUCUACCUCCAGUUGUGCCUGUAACACCACCUUAUGUGCAACCACCACCUAUUGUAACUCCACCAACACCAACACCUCCAAUUGUGACACCACCAACACCACCUAGUGAAACACCUUGUCCUCCACCACCACUUGUACCUUAUCCACCACCACCAGCACAACAAACAUGUUCCAUUGAUGCUUUGAAGUUGGGUGCAUGUGUUGAUGUGCUUGGUGGACUCAUACAUAUUGGUAUAGGUGGAAGUG
rnacentral:lncRNA from 1 species